rfam:Brachypodium distachyon strain Bd21 chromosome 1, whole genome shotgun sequence.
AUGCUACUUCCUCCGUCCCAUAUUAAAUGACUUUCUAUUACAUGUAUCUAGACGCCUUUUAGUCAUAGAUACAUCCAUAUUUGAGCGAAUUUGAGUCACUUAAUAUGAGACGGAGGGAGUACUAU